AUUUUAAGAGAAAUUAUUAAAAUUCACAAAUAUGUCGAAAUUUUAAGAAUAUAUUUCCAGUCCUUACUAUUUACUAAACAUUUCAAAUACCAAAAUAUAUUUUACAUAAUAUAUUAAUUUAUAUAUUAUCAAAAAUAUCUAAUAAAAUUCAUAGUUAUAGACAUUGGAAUACUCAAAAUACUCUAUAAAUAUUAAGUUGGUAUUUGCAACAAUUUUAAUAUGAUAACAGUCUUAAUAUCGGGAAUUUAUAAAAUAUAUCCUGAAAAUAAAUUUAAAUCAGAUAUUUAUCAAAUACAAGAUAUAUUGUUUAAAUGGAAUUUGAUAAGUCGAGAACCGAGAACCGAACCGAAACACAAAUAAAAAAAAUAAAAACAAAAACCGAAUCAUUGUUCACAAAUAUCUGAACAGUUUCUAUAUCCAAACUAUAUUUUGGUUUUUAAACUUAAACCAAACACAAGCUAUUUAUAAUUCGGUUCCAUUUUGGAUUUUAUAGAAAUAGAAACCCGAUCUAUACCAGACAUUAUCUGAACUGAUCCAAUCCAAAUGAAACCAUUAUAUUGUUGUGUAUUGAAAUCUUUAUGUAAUUAUUGGGGAAAAAAACAUCCGCGAGG
rnacentral:lncRNA from 1 species